GGUAGUGUGACCGAGAACAAGGUGACGAGCUGUAGAUUCGUUUAGGGGAGAAGAAUAAGGUAAUCCUCACUAUCA
rnacentral:tRNA from 1 species